UCAUAUUCAUUGGUCGUAUGCACCUCGUUAAAAAUAAAAUUUUAUUCGUCAAUUUUAAGAAGUUCAUUUUACUGAUAAAUUACAUUGAGUUUAAAUUAGUGUAUUGUUUACAAUUAAAAUCGAUAAAUCUAAAUAUAUCUACGCCCGCUACUACGCAACUUUGUGGGCAAUGAGUGCCACUGGAAAUUUUAAAAUUGUAAAAAUCGAGAAAAAUCAGACAAAUCUAACAGUGCAAAAUUCACUGAAAUCCGUCAAUAGAUACUUUUGUUCUUAA